rnacentral:rRNA from 1 species
UACGAAGGGGGCUAGCGUUGCUCGGAAUCACUGGGCGUAAAGAGUGCGUAGGCGGGUCUUUAAGUCAGGGGUGAAAUCCUGGAGCUCAACUCCAGAACUGCCUUUGAUACUGAGGAUCUUGAGUUCGGGAGAGGUGAGUGGAACUGCGAGUGUAGAGGUGAAAUUCGUAGAUAUUCGCAAGAACACCAGUGGCGAAGGCGGCUCACUGGCCCGAUACUGACGCUGAGGCACGAAAGCGUGGGGAGCAAACAGG